AGAGUUUGAUCAUGGCUCAGGAUGAACGCUGGCGGCGUGCCUAAUACAUGCAAGUCGAGCGAACGGACGAGAAGCUUGCUUCUCUGAUGUUAGCGGCGGACGGGUGAGUAACACGUGGAUAACCUACCUAUAAGACUGGGAUAACUUCGGGAAACCGGAGCUAAUACCGGAUAAUAUUUUGAACCGCAUGGUUCAAAAGUGAAAGACGGUCUUGCUGUCACUUAUAGAUGGAUCCGCGCUGCAUUAGCUAGUUGGUAAGGUAACGGCUUACCCAAGGCAACGAUGCAUAGCCGACCUGAGAGGGUGAUCGGCCACACUGGAACUGAGACACGGUCCAGACUCCUACGGGAGGCAGCAGUAGGGAAUCUUCCGCAAUGGGCGAAAGCCUGACGGAGCAACGCCGCGUGAGUGAUGAAGGUCUUCGGAUCGUAAAACUCUGUUAUUAGGGAAGAACAUAUGUGUAAGUAACUGUGCACAUCUUGACGGUACCUAAUCAGAAAGCCACGGCUAACUACGUGCCAGCAGCCGCGGUAAUACGUAGGUGGCAAGCGUUAUCCGGAAUUAUUGGGCGUAAAGCGCGCGUAGGCGGUUUUUUUAAGUCUGAUGUGAAAGCCCACGGCUCAACCGUGGAGGGUCAUUGGAAACUGGAAAACUUGGAGUGCAGAAGAGGAAAGUGGAAUUCCCAUGUGUACGCGGUGAAAUGCGCAGAGAUAUGGAGGAACACCAGUGGCGAAGGCGACUUUCUGGUCUGUAACUGACGCUGAUGUGCGAAAGCGUGGGGAUCAAACAGGAUUAGAUACCCUGGUAGUCCACGCCGUAAACGAUGAGUGCUAAGUGUUAGGGGGUUUCCGCCCCUUAGUGCUGCAGCUAACGCAUUAAGCACUCCGCCUGGGGAGUACGACCGCAAGGUUGAAACUCAAAGGAAUUGACGGGGGCCCGCACAAG
rnacentral:rRNA from 1 species